GCGUGUCCCCUUGCGGUGGCAUCUCCCCCACCUUGUGGUGGCAUCUCCCCCCCCUUGGUGGCAUCUCCCCCAAGGUGGUGGUGUCCCCCCCUGGGUGGUGGCAUGUCCCCAUGGUGGGUGGCACGUCCCCCCUGGUGACAUCUCUCCGUGGUGACGUGUCCCACCCAGUGGCCGGGACCCCCCCCUUGAAGGUGCCACCACCGUGUCCUUGGUGUCCCCGUGUCCUCGGUGCCACCACCUGCCCAUGAACCCCGUGGUGGCCACGUGGCCGUGUCCCCGUGGUGGCCAACUCCAUGUCCCCAUGUCCCCCGUGGUGGCCAAGUCACAUCCCCACGGACAUCUGAUGGUGUCCCCAUUGUCCCCACGGUGGCCGUGUCCCCGUGGUGGCCCAAGUCCUCGCGUCCCUGGGGAGGUUUGGUGGUGUCCCCCGAGGUCUCAGUGCUUCAGGGUGACGUACUCCACCGUGUCCCCACCGCUGUCCCCGCGCUGUCCCCGCGGUGUCCCCGGGGAGGACAGGGCCAGGGCGGCGUAGAGCAGUGUCCCCUCCCUGUCCCCGGGACCCGGUGGGACGUUCUCGUAGUCGGGACCUUCGGUGGCCUGUGGGGACGGACGGGGACGGUGACGGGGGUGGGGACACGGGGGGGGAGACACGGACACGGGGGGACAUCAAGGGGGACAUGGGGGACAUCAAGGAGGACAUCCAGGAGGACAUGGGGGACGUUGAGGACAUCAAGGGGGACAUUGAGUUUAUUGGGGACAUGGGGGACAUCAAGGAGAACACAGGGGGCAUUGAGGUUGUUGGGGACAUGGGCGUCACCAAGGGGGACAAGGUGGGCGUUGGGGAGAUUGAGGACAUCAAGGAGGACAUGGGGAACAUGGGGGACAUCAAGGAGGACAUUGAGGUUGUUGGGGACAUGGUGGACAUCAAGGAGGACAUGGGGGACAUUGGGGACGUUGAGGACAUCAAGGGGGACAUUGGGGCCAUCAAGGGGGACACGGGGGACAUUCAGGUUGUUGGGGACAUGGGAGACAUUGGGGCCAUC
rnacentral:lncRNA from 1 species